rnacentral:rRNA from 1 species
AUGGAGUCGCUGGAGCAGAGCAGUGGAGUCUGCAUUUUCUUCUUCUGUCAGACAGACAUCCACAUGCUCAAGCACUACGGCGUUAACUUCGUGGUGGCCGACGCGACGGCCAUCGAGCACGACUUCUUCGCCAAGAACAACCUUAGCGUGGACAUCACGCCGCAAUACAUCAUGAUGGAGCUCGGCUGGAUCUAUUUCUGUUCAAGUCUUGUUGUCAUUGAUUUAUUGCUUUUUUUGCAUGUCUUCUUCUUCCUCGAUCUGGUGCAGCAGCAACAAUUCAAGUUUCCUCACGCCUCUCUGUUUGCAUUACAGGCUCUGUUGGUCGGUCUUCAAUUCUUCAUGCUGCUGCUGCUACUGCUACAUGAGGACCCUCUUCAAUUCUGCAUCCGUUGCGGCCGCCGCAGCUUCCACCUCCAGAAGAGCACCUGCUCCUCGUGCGGUUACCCGGCCGCCCGCGAGUCCGCAAAUUUAUUCAAAUUGAGAUGCAUCCUGGUGAUUCGUCAUCUCGGAGUACCCGCAGCCGGAGGAGGAUCACCAAGGCUACGACCAGUCGGCGGCAAGCUGGUGGCCGAGCUCUCUGUAGAUCAUGGUCGGUCGACGUGGCCGGUUUCGACGCCUCCCACCCAGACUCCCCUGCCAGCGCCGGCUGUGUGUCUGAUGAGCGCACGGCCACUGCCGACUGCAGCGUCAUACAUGUGGGCGGCCAUGGCAUCCCAGAGAUCACGGUCGGUCGACGUGGCCGGUUUCAACGCCUCCGAACCAGACUCCCCUGCCAACGCAGGCUGUGUGUCUGACGAACGCACGGGCUGCUGCCGACUGCAGCUUCAUAUAUGUGGGCGGCCAUGGCAUCCCGGCGAACCUCGUCGACGCAGUGCACUACCCCGCCUCUGGCUGCGGACCAUGCGCGCUGGUCGGCGCACACACGGCCUCGCUCGUGUAUGUUCCUAUCACCAAAAGCUUCCAGGUGCAUGUCAGCUGCUCGCGCCCCGGCUCCUCGACAUCCUAUCCCUCGGACUAGGUGUUCUGGUGCCCACGCUCGAGCGCCGCCUCCACCUCACCGGCGCUACUACCCGUCGAGGACGACCUACUAAAAGAGCUGUUGGUCGGUGUGGAAGCGCACACGGACGUAGUGCGCUCUUCUCCAUCCUCACGAGCCUGGUUGACGAGCAUGCCACCCUCUUGUGUCCAUGGUUUCAGAUUGCAGUUUCAACCCAAAAACGAAAAAUGCCCAGUUGCCACAGCAUCCGUUUACACCAUCGACUGGACCGGACUAGCUACCUCUCGCCUCGGCCAACCCCCGCCUCUAUAAGCGACCCUUUCCUCAACUACCUUCAUCUUCUCCUGUUACGCAUCAAGAAAUUUGAAUCAUGGCACCUUGGCCUCUGA